rnacentral:rRNA from 1 species
UUGCCUCAGUAACGGCGAAGUGAAGCGGCAAGAGCUCAAAUUUGAAAUCUGGCCCCUUUGGGGUCCGAGUUGUAAUUUGCAGAGGAKGCUUCGGGUGCGGUCCCCGUCUAAGUGCCCUGGAACGGGCCGUCAUAGAGGGUGAGAAUCCCGUCUGGGAUGGGCGGCCGCGCCCGUGUGAAGCUCCUUCGACGAGUCGAGUUGUUUGGGAAUGCAGCUCUAAGCGGGUGGUAAAUUUCAUCUAAAGCUAAAUACUGGCCGGAGACCGAUAGCGCACAAGUAGAGUGAUCGAAAGAUGAAAAGCACUUUGAAAAGAGAGUUAAACAGCACGUGAAAUUGUUGAAAGGGAAGCGUUGUCCACCAGACUCGCCCGGGGGGGUUCAGCCGGCACGUGUGCCGGUGUACUCCUCUCCGGGCGGGCCAGCAUCGGUUUGGGCGGCUGGUGAAAGGCCCCGGGAAUGUAACACCCUUCGGGGUGCCUUAUAGCCCGGGGUGCCAUACAGCCAGCCUGGACCGAGGCCCGCGCUUCGGCGAGGAUGCUGGCGUAAUGGUGGUCAACGGCCCGUCUUGAAACACGGACCAAGGAGUCUAACAUCUAUGCGAGUGUUCGGGUGUCAAACCCGUCCGCGCAGUGAAAGCGAACGGAGGUGGGAGCCCCUCGGGGCGCACCAUCGACCGAUCCUGAUGUCUUCGGAUGGAUUUGAGUAAGAGCAUAGCUGUUGGGACCCGAAAGAUGGUGAACUAUGCCUGAAUAGGGCGAAGCCAGAGGAAACUCUGGUGGAGGCUCGCAGCGGUUCUGACGUGCAAAUCGAUCGUCAAAUUUGGGUAUAGGGGCGAAAGACUAAUCGAACCAUCUGGUAGCUGGUCUGCG